ACCUGCCUCCCAGAGUUCUCACUAUAAAUUGUACACAUCACCUCCAUCAAAUGGUGUUGACGGGGACUACACUGAGACGACAUCGUGUAUACUCAUUGAUGUAUAUCAAACUAACUCUUUUUGGGAAGUGGAUCUGGGAGAACCACAUUAUAUACACGAAGUGACUGUUCACUUCAGGACGGAUUUUUGUGACGCUGGCACAUUUGGAGAUGACUGCAUCGAGUUCUGCCACUGUCACGGUCAACCGUGUAACUAUGUAACUGGAGAGUGUGUGGAUGGAUGUAAACAGAACUGGACUGGAACACAGUGUAAUGUUUGUGAUUCUGAUCACUAUGGCUCACUGUGCAGUGUUAGCUGCUCCAACAGACACUGUGAUCAGACUAACGGAAUAUCCAGGUGUGACAAAAUAACAGGGCGAUGUGACACUGAG